rnacentral:rRNA from 1 species
AGAGUUUGAUCAUGGCUCAGGACGAACGCUGGCGGCGUGCCUAACACAUGCAAGUCGAACGGGGCCGGGGGCAACUCCGGUUCAGUGGCGAACGGGUGCGUAACACGUGAGGAACCUGACCAUCGGCGGGGGGAUAGCCGGCCCAACGGCCGGGUAAUACCGCGUACGACCUUCGGGGGGCAUCCCCUGGAGGUGAAAGCAGCAAUGCACCGAUGGAGGGCCUCGCGACCUAUCAGCUAGUUGGUGAGGUCACGGCUCACCAAGGCGACGACGGGUAGCUGGUCUGAGAGGAUGGCCAGCCACAUUGGGACUGAGACACGGCCCAGACUCCUACGGGAGGCAGCAGUGGGGAAUCUUGCGCAAUGGGCGAAAGCCUGACGCAGCGACGCCGCGUGUGGGAUGACGGCCUUCGGGUUGUAAACCACUGUCGGGAGGGACGAAGCUCUGACGGUACCUCCAAAGGAAGCACCGGCUAACUCUGUGCCAGCAGCCGCGGUAAUACAGAGGGUGCGAGCGUUGUCCGGAAUCACUGGGCGUAAAGGGCGCGUAGGCGGCCUGAUAAGUAGGGGGUGAAAUCCUGUGGCUUAACUGCAGGGCUGCCUCCUAGACUGUCUGGCUCGAGCACGGUAGAGGCAGAUGGAAUUCCCGGUGUAGCGGUGGAAUGCGUAGAGAUCGGGAAGAACAUCGGUGGCGAAGGCGGUCUGCUGGGCCGUUGCUGACGCUGAGGCGCGACAGCGUGGGGAGCAAACAGGAUUAGAUACCCUAGUAGUCC